ensembl:lncRNA
AUUUGGUUUAUUGGUGGCCAUUUUAAAUGAUCCUCUAAACCUCCAGUCCUUCAGUACCUCCUCCUCCCCUUCCACGCCCCACCAGGCAGGCCUUCACCUUCUCUUCGCCCCUCGUCACAUCAUCCACAGAAACCAAAAGCCAACUGAAGGGGUAUUUUCUGACCGUAACACACAAUCUGUCAGCGUUUUCAAUGGCGUAAAAGUGCAUUCAUCAUCAUGUUCACGUAAGUGUUGUUACUCAAGGCUGUGCUCAGAUCUGUACCGCCACAAACAGGUUGUAAGAUGUAGUGUGAAUUACAGUAGAGGAAUCUUGAGAGCUUUUAGCGCCCCUGCAGGUGGAACAGAGAACAACAGCUGCAGUGUUAUACAAUAGUCCUUCACCCAGGUUGUGCAUCUACAUAGAUGUACAUACAGUUAUGUAUAUAUAUAUAUAUGCAACGUCGAAACAAGAGCAGUCAUCACAUCACAAGUGGUGGGCGUUCAUCAAACCCACACCAGGUCUGGUCUGGUCCAGAACACGCUAGCACCAAACAAGACUUAAGGGUCUGGUCCAUAAGACUCUAGUCUAAACCAAACCAGGUCUGGUCUGGUCCAGAACACUCUAGUCUAAACCUAACCAGGUCUGGUCUGGUCCAGAAGACUCUAGUCCAAACCAGGUCUGGUCUAGUCCAGAACACUCUAGCACCAAACCAGACUUAAGGGUCUGGUCCCGUAGACUCUAGUCUAAACCUAACCAGGUCUGGUCUGGUCCAGAGACAGACGGCGUAGGGCCGGGUUCCCCAGAGAACCGUCACAGAACACGCAGUUAGUCCGACCGCAGCAGCUGAAUAAAUACAAAAGUAAAGAUGCGUCAGCUGAGAUAAUCCUCUGGGCUGCGUUAGAAAAGGUGUAGCAUGAUCAUACGUGUUUACUGUCCCUCCUUAUGUACAGAAAUAAUAUAUGCAAGAGCUUGUGUUCCUUCUCUAAUCCCUCUCCCAGCGUGUGGCGGCUCGAGCGUGUCUCCGACGUCAGACCGGUGAACGUUGACCCAGCACCUAUGCUGCGUUCGUCGGGCCAGUAUGUGUGUGCAGUAAUACUAAUGAUACGAUAGGAAUAAGGCACGUUAAAGUCCCUCCGGUGCUGAGAUGGCGGCUCAUGGCUCCAGAGAACGAAGCACCUUUCAGCGGAGAACCGAACGCCCUGCUGGCGGGAGAUUGUCGUGGUCAGGGUUCCUGCCGCAGUGGAGGUCCGUCACUGAGUAUGUCAGGAGGCUGGGGGCUUUGUGUGCACAUUCAUAACGGCGGCGCCUCGACUCACACACAGAUCGAUGUCCGUGUCUUGCUAGUUUGCUUUUUUCAAACAUUGAAAAACUUAAAAAACCUUAUUUGAAAACGCUGAGGUCAGUUGCUGGUACACCGAAGGUAAGAAGAAGAAGAGUCCAAAUGGAGGCCGCCUUUUACAAGAGAAGAUCCUCGAAAUGUUCCAUUUAAAAAAAUCUCCUUUGGGUUUGUUCGUCAGAAAACACGCAGAUAGGGGCCAGCGGCUGCUGCUGUGUAGAAAACACUAUUCAUUAAUAAAGUCAUUCAUAAAAACGCAAUCAAGGAUUUUGUUAAAUUCACUAAAAGCAUAAAUUGUGCCGACGCCGUCCUGAGCCCCGAUAACCUGGGGGGGG